rnacentral:tRNA from 1 species
UGCGUUUGUAGCUCAGGGGAUAGAGCGCUGCCCUCCGGAGGCAGGAGCGGCGGUUCGAAUCCGCCCAGACGCGA